GCACUCACCUAUCCACUAAACAGCAACUUCAAAGUUGAAAGAAUCUUUCAACUUUGAAGUUGCUGUUUAGUGGAUAGGUGAGUGC